CGACAAACUCCCUGUGAUCCUCAUGGAAGAGAACCACACAACAAGCUAAUAGUCGGGGACCUACCCUGCCCCAAAAUAAGAAAUGACAAUCAGAGCUAUGACAACGACACCCGAUAUACUACACCCCUAACAUCGACCCUCAUCCGAUCCUGCAUGAAGUCCGGGUCCACGUCGAAGGCUCAGUAGUAGUCAUUUCGCUCCGGGUCCUCCCCGAACGACGAACCAUCACGAA
rnacentral:lncRNA from 1 species